rnacentral:lncRNA from 1 species
CUUAAAUCAGUAAAAUAUUUUUUGUAUAAUUAAAAGAAAUGCAAAACCAACUUCAAAAGAGUAACAGAGCAAGGAAGAAAUAGGGCAUUGACCAAGCCGAGAAAGAAAAAAGAGCAGAGCAUUAUAUUUGCAGUCUCUAAGACUCUAACAGAUGGAAUAGUUUAAUUUUUCUAUUCUGUGUAUUUUCUUAAGGGGACCACGUUUCCAUUGUUUGAUUCAAAAUAAAGGAAUAGAAAAGAUAUUUUGUGGCCUAAGGGUUCCGUGUGAAAGAAGAACUAGCUUUCUUUUGUAAGUGCAGGUAUUUGCAAUUCCUUGCUUCAUGGAAUUUGUUUAAUUUCUCCUAAUUCCAAGAGUGCCCUUUCUUCCCAUCUUCAAUUCAUCUUCAUUGCAGCUUUCUGGUAGCAGUUGUGACCAACAGUUGUACUUGGUUUCUGGUGGCAUAUCCUCUUCACAAGCACCACCUGACGAAGUGGGGAUGCGAAAGCUACAAGCCCAAAACCUUUGACCCUUUCUUUCUAAAGGGGGUGCAUCUCAUCUUGUCAUUUCGCCCUCUCCCCUCUCGAUGCUACUCAUCUCCAUCUCCCCUUACAAACCUUCUUCUACUCACCGUGAAUCUUUCUGCCAGUUAAAGAUCGGAGUGAGAUAGAAAGUGGGAAAAGAAGAGAGAGAGGAGCUUUGGGGAUAUUUCUUCUUUUAGAAAAGUAAACGAGAGAGAAAGGGAGAGUCAGAAGCUUUUUAUUUUUUAAUAUUUUGGUAUCGAGUUUCAUGUUCGAAAAGUAGAUAUGAAAAGGACAAAGAAUCAGAGGGGAGGGUAUUUUAGACAUUUAACUCUCUAUAUAUUUAUAUAUAUAAUGAUUUUAU